AAACAUUUAAUAAAAAAAAUUGUGUAAAGCAAUUUACCAAAAUAUUAUACCACACAUGGAGAUCAUUAAUUUGACAACAUGCCUGUGAUUCAUGUGUACCACAAAACAGAAAAUCAAUUGCUAAAUAGAGGAUUAAACAAAUCAAACAUAUAGCAGUCCCGUCUAUUUAACACUUCCAAAAGCUAGUUCGUUUCAAGAGUUGACCUUGGAAAACAUAAUUACUAGAAGAAGUAACAUGAAGUGAAACCCUUAAAUCAUGUACAAGAAAUAUAAAUAACAUAACUUGGUCAUGCAGUUACAAGGAUACAUUCAUCAUCAGUUUUUCAUGCUAAAUAAAUAGAUAUGAAUAUAUAUGGCACCAUAAUUCAUAUCCUACAAAUCGAUAAACAUUCAUCAUCAGUUUUUCAUGCUAAAUAAAUAGAUAUGAAUAUAUAUGGCACCAUAAUUCAUAUCCUACAAAUCGAUAAUAGAAAUAUAAUACUCCCUCCAUUCCUAUAUGUAGGUCGUUUUAGACUCUCUUUUUUAUUCCUAAUUAUUUGUCGUUUGUGAUUAUCUAGGAGAAUUGAUUACUAUUUUUCCCAAAUUGCCCCUUAUUACUCCAUCUAAUUUUUUUGUCCAUAUUUAUGAGAUAAGUGAGGUGAAGGGUAUUAUAGACAAUUGAUAAUAUAGUUAAUGUUUUUCAAUCAUUUUCUUAAUUCUUGUGCACAUGUCUAAAACGACGGAACGGAGGGAGUAGCAAACAACAAAUUUGAUUCACUAAGGAACACUGAAUACAUUAUACAUGUCCUACAAUUUUAGUAUUGCAAUAGAAUAUCAAAACAUUUAAUUCAACCAACACAAGAAACACCUAACUAAGAAAUCCAAUAAUCUGAUGCCCAAAAAAAAAUGCUUAAAUAGCAUUAUGAGAAAAACCAAAAAAAAUAAAAC
rnacentral:lncRNA from 1 species